rnacentral:rRNA from 1 species
GGGUUGUGAGGUUAAGCGACUAAGCGUACACGGUGGAUGCCCUGGCAGUCAGAGGCGAUGAAGGACGUGCUAAUCUGCGAUAAGCGUCGGUAAGGUGAUAUGAACCGUUAUAACCGGCGAUUUCCGAAUGGGGAAACCCAGUGUGUUUCGACACACUAUCAUUAACUGAAUCCAUAGGUUAAUGAGGCGAACCGGGGGAACUGAAACAUCUAAGUACCCCGAGGAAAAGAAAUCAACCGAGAUUCCCCCAGUAGCGGCGAGCGAACGGGGAGGAGCCCAGAGCCUGAAUCAGUGUGUGUGUUAGUGGAAGCGUCUGGAAAGGCGCGCGAUACAGGGUGACAGCCCCGUACACAAAAAUGCACAUGCUGUGAGCUCGAUGAGUAGGGCGGGACACGUGGUAUCCUGUCUGAAUAUGGGGGGACCAUCCUCCAAGGCUAAAUACUCCUGACUGACCGAUAGUGAACCAGUACCGUGAGGGAAAGGCGAAAAGAACCCCGGCGAGGGGAGUGAAAAAGAACCUGAAACCGUGUACGUACAAGCAGUGGGAGCACGCUUAGGCGUGUGACUGCGUACCUUUUGUAUAAUGGGUCAGCGACUUAUAUUCUGUAGCAAGGUUAACCGAAUAGGGGAGCCGAAGGGAAACCGAGUCUUAACUGGGCGUUAAGUUGCAGGGUAUAGACCCGAAACCCGGUGAUCUAGCCAUGGGCAGGUUGAAGGUUGGGUAACACUAACUGGAGGACCGAACCGACUAAUGUUGAAAAAUUAGCGGAUGACUUGUGGCUGGGGGUGAAAGGCCAAUCAAACCGGGAGAUAGCUGGUUCUCCCCGAAAGCUAUUUAGGUAGCGCCUCGUGAAUUCAUCUCCGGGGGUAGAGCACUGUUUCGGCAAGGGGGUCAUCCCGACUUACCAACCCGAUGCAAACUGCGAAUACCGGAGAAUGUUAUCACGGGAGACACACGGCGGGUGCUAACGUCCGUCGUGAAGAGGGAAACAACCCAGACCGCCAGCUAAGGUCCCAAAGUCAUGGUUAAGUGGGAAACGAUGUGGGAAGGCCCAGACAGCCAGGAUGUUGGCUUAGAAGCAGCCAUCAUUUAAAGAAAGCGUAAUAGCUCACUGGUCGAGUCGGCCUGCGCGGAAGAUGUAACGGGGCUAAACCAUGCACCGAAGCUGCGGCAGCGACGCUUAUGCGUUGUUGGGUAGGGGAGCGUUCUGUAAGCCUGUGAAGGUGUGCUGUGAGGCAUGCUGGAGGUAUCAGAAGUGCGAAUGCUGACAUAAGUAACGAUAAAGCGGGUGAAAAGCCCGCUCGCCGGAAGACCAAGGGUUCCUGUCCAACGUUAAUCGGGGCAGGGUGAGUCGACCCCUAAGGCGAGGCCGAAAGGCGUAGUCGAUGGGAAACAGGUUAAUAUUCCUGUACUUGGUGUUACUGCGAAGGGGGGACGGAGAAGGCUAUGUUGGCCGGGCGACGGUUGUCCCGGUUUAAGCGUGUAGGCUGGUUUUCCAGGCAAAUCCGGAAAAUCAAGGCUGAGGCGUGAUGACGAGGCACUACGGUGCUGAAGCAACAAAUGCCCUGCUUCCAGGAAAAGCCUCUAAGCAUCAGGUAACAUCAAAUCGUACCCCAAACCGACACAGGUGGUCAGGUAGAGAAUACCAAGGCGCUUGAGAGAACUCGGGUGAAGGAACUAGGCAAAAUGGUGCCGUAACUUCGGGAGAAGGCACGCUGAUAUGUAGGUGAAGUCCCUUGCGGAUGGAGCUGAAAUCAGUCGAAGAUACCAGCUGGCUGCAACUGUUUAUUAAAAACACAGCACUGUGCAAACACGAAAGUGGACGUAUACGGUGUGACGCCUGCCCGGUGCCGGAAGGUUAAUUGAUGGGGUUAGCCGCAAGGCGAAGCUCUUGAUCGAAGCCCCGGUAAACGGCGGCCGUAACUAUAACGGUCCUAAGGUAGCGAAAUUCCUUGUCGGGUAAGUUCCGACCUGCACGAAUGGCGUAAUGAUGGCCAGGCUGUCUCCACCCGAGACUCAGUGAAAUUGAACUCGCUGUGAAGAUGCAGUGUACCCGCGGCAAGACGGAAAGACCCCGUGAACCUUUACUAUAGCUUGACACUGAACAUUGAGCCUUGAUGUGUAGGAUAGGUGGGAGGCUUUGAAGUGUGGACGCCAGUCUGCAUGGAGCCGACCUUGAAAUACCACCCUUUAAUGUUUGAUGUUCUAACGUUGACCCGUAAUCCGGGUUGCGGACAGUGUCUGGUGGGUAGUUUGACUGGGGCGGUCUCCUCCUAAAGAGUAACGGAGGAGCACGAAGGUUGGCUAAUCCUGGUCGGACAUCAGGAGGUUAGUGCAAUGGCAUAAGCCAGCUUGACUGCGAGCGUGACGGCGCGAGCAGGUGCGAAAGCAGGUCAUAGUGAUCCGGUGGUUCUGAAUGGAAGGGCCAUCGCUCAACGGAUAAAAGGUACUCCGGGGAUAACAGGCUGAUACCGCCCAAGAGUUCAUAUCGACGGCGGUGUUUGGCACCUCGAUGUCGGCUCAUCACAUCCUGGGGCUGAAGUAGGUCCCAAGGGUAUGGCUGUUCGCCAUUUAAAGUGGUACGCGAGCUGGGUUUAGAACGUCGUGAGACAGUUCGGUCCCUAUCUGCCGUGGGCGCUGGAGAACUGAGGGGGGCUGCUCCUAGUACGAGAGGACCGGAGUGGACGCAUCACUGGUGUUCGGGUUGUCAUGCCAAUGGCACUGCCCGGUAGCUAAAUGCGGAAGAGAUAAGUGCUGAAAGCAUCUAAGCACGAAACUUGCCCCGAGAUGAGUUCUCCCUGACCCUUUAAGGGUCCUGAAGGAACGUUGAAGACGACGACGUUGAUAGGCCGGGUGUGUAAGCGCAGCGAUGCGUUGAGCUAACCGGUACUAAUGAACCGUGAGGCUUAACCUUACAACGCCGAAG